GACGAACGCUGGCGGCGUGCUUAACACAUGCAAGUCGAACGGAAAGGCCCUGCUUUUGUGGGGUGCUCGAGUGGCGAACGGGUGAGUAACACGUGAGUAACCUGCCCUUGACUUUGGGAUAACUUCAGGAAACUGGGGCUAAUACCGGAUAGGAGCUCUUGCUGCAUGGUGGGGGUUGGAAAGUUUCGGCGGUUGGGGAUGGACGCGCGGCUUAUCAGCUUGUUGGUGGGGUAGUGGCUUACCAAGGCUUUGACGGGUAGCCGGCCUGAGAGGUUGACCGGCCACAUUGGGACUGAGAUACGGCCCAGACUCCUACGGGAGGCAGCAGUGGGGAAUAUUGCGCAAUGGGCGGAAGCCUGAUGCAGCAAUGCCGCGUGCGGGAUGACGGCCUUCGGGUUGUAAACCGCUUUCGCCUGUGACGAAGCGUGAGUGGCGGUAAUGGGUAAAGAAGCACCGGCUAACUACGUG
rnacentral:rRNA from 1 species